rnacentral:tRNA from 5 species
GUUCCCUUCUUCUAGCGGUCAGGAAGGCCGUCUCUCCAACGGCAAAGGCUCGGUUCAACUCCGGCAGGGAAUGCCA